GUAGGGUGCGAGCGUUGUCCGGAUUUAUUGGGGGGCGUAAAGGGGCCCGUAGGUGGGUUGAUCGCGUCGGGAAGUGUAAUCUUGGGGCUUAACCCUGAGCGUGCUUUCGAUACGGGUUGACUUGAGGAAGGUAGGGGAGAAUGGAAUUCCUGGUGGAGCGGUGGAAUGCGCAGAUAUCAGGAGGAACACCAGUGGCGAAGGCGGUUCUCUGGGCCUUUCCUGACGCUGAGGAGCGAAAGCGUGGGGAGCGAACAGGCAUAGAUACCCUGGUAGUCCACGCUGUAAACGGUGGGUACUAGGUGUGGGGUCCAUUCCACGGGUUCCGUGCCGUAGCUAACGCUUUAAGUACCCCGCCUGGGGAGUACGGCCGCAAAGGCUA
rnacentral:rRNA from 1 species